rnacentral:rRNA from 1 species
CGGAGGGUGCAAGCGUUAUCCGGAUUCACUGGGUUUAAAGGGAGCGUAGGUGGCUUUGUAAGUCAGUGGUGAAAUAUUGCGGCUCAACCGCAAAACUGCCAUUGAUACUGCUUAGCUUGAAUCACGUCGAGGUGGAUGGAAUAAUACAUGUAGCGGUGAAAUGCUUAGAUAUGUAUUAGAACACCGAUUGCGAAGGCAGUUCACUAGGCGUGUAUUGACACUGAGGCUCGAAAGCGUGGGGAUCAAACAGGAUUAGAUACCCUGGUAGUCCACGCCCUAAACGAUGUAAACUCGACAUUAGCGAUAUACUGUUAGUGUCCAAGCGAAAGCGUUAAGUUUACCACCCGGGAAGUACGACCGCAAGGUUG